rnacentral:rRNA from 1 species
UGGGGAAUCUUGCGCAAUGGGGGAAACCCUGACGCAGCGACGCCGCGUGCGGGAUGAAGGCCUUCGGGUUGUAAACCGCUUUCAGCAGGGACGAGGCCUUAUGGUGACGGUACCUGCAGAAGAAGCUCCGGCUAAAUACGUGCCAGCAGCCGCGGUAAUACGUAUGGAGCAAGCGUUAUCCGGAUUCAUUGGGCGUAAAGCGCCCGUAGGCGGUCUGUUAGGUCGGCAAGUUAAAUCCGGGGGCUCAACCCCCGUCCGCUUCCGAUACCGGCAGACUUGAGUUUGGUAGGGGAAGGUGGAAUUCCUAGUGUAGCGGUGGAAUGCGCAGAUAUUAGGAAGAACACCGGUGGCGAAGGCGGCCUUCUGGGCCAUAACUGACGCUGAGGAGCGAAAGCUAGGGGAGCGAACAGG